rnacentral:rRNA from 1 species
GUUUACCGCCAUACCAACCUGAACACGCCAGAUCUCGUAUGUUCUUGGAUGCUAAGCAGGUUCGGACCUGGUUAGUACUUGGAGAAUAGAGAAAAGAACAAGCUAGGCAUAAUGU